rnacentral:rRNA from 1 species
UACGGGGGGGGCAAGCGUUGUUCGGAAUUACUGGGCGUAAAGGGCGCGUAGGCGGCUUUUCAAGUCGGGCGUGAAAUCUCCGGGCUUAACCCGGAAGGGUCGUUCGAUACUGUUGAGCUAGAGUGUGGAAGAGGCAACUAGAAUUCCGUGUGUAGCGGUGAAAUGCGUAGAUAUACGGAGGAAUACCUGAGGCGAAGGUAGGUCUCUGGGCAUUAACUGACGCUGAGGAGCGAAAGCAUGGGGAGCGAACAGG